GAAAGCGGUGACGUCCGACCGUCUUCCGGCGACGUACAACCGUCCGGCCACAGUGAUAUCUUGUGUUAAAUAACCCUGAAAACCAUUGUAUUAUCACAUCACCAUAUAAAUCUCAUUGAGAGAAAGAAAGCGGUGACGUCCGACCGUCUUCCGGCGACGCACAACCGUCCGGCCACAGUGGUAUCAUAUCACACACCAACGAACACCCCUUCCCAUCUUCUACUUCCAUUUUCUGCCCUUGCACGAACAUUGUGAGAGAGAGAGAGAUGCGGCCGAAGUAUGUUAUUGGUGUGUGAUUUGAGUAAUUGGGUUUCUAAUGUGACUCCCCUCGCAUAAUUCAAACGUCAACUCCUCUUCUUCUUGUUUGCGGAAACCAAGCAUUCAGCCUCUUCGAUGACCGGAUAUUUUUUAGAUCGGUGGGGGUUAUAUAGGGGUGUGAAACUCAUGUGGCAAAUGACGGGGAAACGGCGGUUGGAAUAGACGCUACGGUUUGGUUAUUAACUUUAAAGUCAUGACUCAUGACGGUAUUAGACUGGGCCAGAAAAGAAUGAAAAAUGGUUGUGAAAAACUGAAAGGAUGUGCAGUGUUGUGUGAAAGGGUGAAACGAAAGGGUGGCUGUAUCAUAUGAAUGGAUGUGUCGUAUCAUGUUACGGUUUCUUUUGAACGCAACCUUUAGUUGCUUUUUGUAUUAGAUAGAUAAUAGUCUGAUGGAUGGAUGGUUUACUAUGAUGGAUAAGAAAUAACU
rnacentral:lncRNA from 1 species